rnacentral:rRNA from 1 species
AUUGAACGCUGGCGGAAUGCUUUACACAUGCAAGUCGAACGGCAGCACGGACUUCGGUCUGGUGGCGAGUGGCGAACGGGUGAGUAACAUAUCGGAACGUAUCCAAUAAUGGGGGAUAACGAGUCGAAAGAUUCGCUAAUACCGCAUACGCCAUACGGGGGAAAGCUGGGGACCGUCGGGCCUGGCGUUAAUGGAGCGGACGGUAUCUGAUUAGCUAGUUGGGGAGGUAAAGGCCCACCAAGGCGACGAUCAGUAGCUGGUCUGAGAGGACGACCAGCCACACUGGAACUGAGACACGGUCCAGACUCCUACGGGAGGCAGCAGUGGGGAAUUUUGGACAAUGGGCGCAAGCCUGAUCCAGCCAUUCCGCGUGAGUGAAGAAGGCCUUCGGGUUGUAAAGCUCUUUCGCAAGGGAAGAAAACUUAGCCACUAACAUUGGUUGAGGUUGACGGUACCUUGAUAAGAAGCACCGGCUAACUACGUGCCAGCAGCCGCCGUAA